UACGUAGGGGGCAAGCGUUGUCCGGAUUUAUUGGGCGUAAAGAGCGUGUAGGCGGCUAUACAGGUCCGUUGUGAAAACUCGAGGCUCAACCUCGAGACGCCGAUGGAAACCGUAUGGCUAGAGUCCGGAAGAGGAGAGCGGAAUUCCUGGUGUAGCGGUGAAAUGCGCAGAUAUCGGGAGGAACACCUAUGGCGAAGGCAGCUCGCUGGGACGUUACUGACGCUGAGACGCGAAAGCGUGGGGAGCAAACAGG
rnacentral:rRNA from 1 species